ACGGGUUCGGAUUUCUGCCUUUUGCUUUGGAUUUUAUUUUGCCUUGGAUUGUCAGAUUUUUCAGUUAGUGAUGCAAUAAUACAGCCACGCUGGUUUCUGCUUGCUAGUGUUGCUGUUUUUAUACAAAGCGAUAUAUAUUUCCCAAAAUUCCAGUGUUUUUCCUGACGGUAACCUGAGCAAUGGCUUUCAAACGGAAAGUCAUGAUACACCAAAGGCCAAAUGCUCAUACUAUCUACAGCAUAAAUUUUCGUCGGUUUUAUCAAUGCACCGCAUCACUACAGAAACGAUUCUCAACUAUAAUAGUGCCUGCUUCAAGGUAUAAGCAAAAAAUCAACAUAUACAAACAACGUUAGACAAAAAAUAUAGGAA